rnacentral:rRNA from 1 species
GGGUGAGUAACACGUGGGCAAUCUGCCCUGCACUCUGGGACAAGCCUUGGAAACGAGGUCUAAUACCGGAUACUGAUCCCUGGGGGCAUCCCUGGGGAUCGAAAGCUCCGGCGGUGCAGGAUGAGCCCGCGGCCUAUCAGCUUGUUGGUGGGGUGAUGGCCUACCAAGGCGACGACGGGUAGCCGGCCUGAGAGGGCGACCGGCCACACUGGGACUGAGACACGGCCCAGACUCCUACGGGAGGCAGCAGUGGGGAAUAUUGCACAAUGGGCGAAAGCCUGAUGCAGCGACGCCGCGUGAGGGAUGAAGGCCUUCGGGUUGUAAACCUCUUUCAGCAGGGAAGAAGCGAAAGUGACGGUACCUGCAGAAGAAGCACCGGCUAACUACGUGCCAGCAGCCGCGGUAAUACGUAGGGUGCGAGCGUUGUCCGGAAUUAUUGGGCGUAAAGAGCUCGUAGGCGGCUUGUCACGUCGGAUGUGAAAGCCCGGGGGCUUAACCCCGGGUCUGCAUUCGAUACGGGCAGGCUAGA